GCAAGUGAAAAAGACCAGCUCAGCCUACCAGUCAUCGCCAGAUUGUUGAUUUACCCAGUGAGAGCCUGCCCUCCUGCCUGCUUGCCUGCCUGUCUGCCGGUCACAUCCUCCUCUGUCCAUUCAUCCGUGGAUUCCUUGGAUAAACCACUUUGAUCAUUUCCA